rnacentral:rRNA from 1 species
GACGUAGGGCGCGAGCGUUGUCCGGAUUUAUUGGGCGUAAAGAGCUCGUAGGCGGUCUGUCGCGUCGGAUGUGAAAAUCAGGGCUCAACCCUGGACCUGCAUUCGAUACGGGCAGACUAGAGUUCGGUAGGGGAGACUGGAAUUCCUGGUGUAGCGGUGAAAUGCGCAGAUAUCAGGAGGAACACCGAUUGCGAAGGCAGCUCGCUGGAACGUUACUGACGCUGAGACGCGAAAGCGUGGGGAGCAAACAGG